rnacentral:rRNA from 1 species
AGAAGAAAAUUGAAAGUCAGGUCUGCCCAAUGAAUUAAGAUUUAAAUGGCUGCAGUAAAUUGACUGUACAAAGGUAGCAUAAUAAAUAGUUUUUUAAUUGGAAACUGGAAUGAAAGAUUUGAUAAAAUAUAAACUGUCUAAAAUUUAAAAUUUAUAAAUUAAAUUUUGAGUUAAAAUGCUUAACUUUUUUUAAGGGACGAUAAGACCCUAUAGAUCUUAAUAUAAUAUUAAUAAAAAAUAUAAUUAUUAUUUUAUUUUUUUAUUAAUAUUAUAUUUAACUGGGGUUGUUUUAAAAUUUGAUUAAAUUUUAUUUUUAUAUAACAUGAAUUAAUGAGAUUUUAAUUUGUAUAAAUUUUAUAAAAUAAAAUAAGUUACCUUAGGGAUAACAGCGUAAUAAUUUUUUAAAGUUCUUAUAAAAAAAAUUGAUUGCGACCUCGAUGUUGAAUUAAAAUAAAAUAUAAAAGAAGAGUUUUAUUAUUUAGGUCUGUUCGACCUUUAAAAUUUUACAU